CGCAUACGUCCUACGGGAGAAAGGGGGCUUCGGCUCCCGCUAUUGGAUGAGCCUAUGUCGGAUUAGCUAGUUGGUGAGGUAAAGGCUCACCAAGGCAACGAUCCGUAGCUGGUCUGAGAGGAUGAUCAGCCACAUCGGGACUGAGACACGGCCCGAACUCCUACGGGAGGCAGCAGUGGGGAAUAUUGGACAAUGGGGGCAACCCUGAUCCAGCCAUGCCGCGUGUGUGAAGAAGGCCCUCGGGUUGUAAAGCACUUUCAGCGAGGAAGAACGCCUGGCGGUUAAUACCCGCCAGGAAAGACAUCACUCGCAGAAGAAGCACCGGCUAACUCCGUGCCAGCAGCCGCGGUAAUACGGGGGGUGCAAGCGUUAAUCGGAAUUACUGGGCGUAAAGCGCGCGUAGGUGGCUUGAUAAGCCGGUUGUGAAAGCCCCGGGCUCAACCUGGGAACGGCAUCCGGAACUGUCAGGCUAGAGUGCAGGAGAGGAAGGUAGAAUUCCCGGUGUAGCGGUGAAAUGCGUAGAGAUCGGGAGGAAUACCAGUGGCGAAGGCGGCCUUCUGGACUGACACUGACACUGAGGUGCGAAAGCGUGGGUAGCAAACAGGAUUAGAUACCCUGGUAGUCCACGCCGUAAACGAUGUCGACCAGCCGUUGGGUGCCUAGCGCACUUUGUGGCGAAGUUAACGCGAUAAGUCGACCGCCCGGGGAGUACGGCCGCAAGGUUAAAACUCAAAUGAAUUGACGGGGGCCCGCACAAGCGGUGGAGCAUGUGGUUUAAUUCGAUGCAACGCGAAGAACCUUACCUACCCUUGACAUCCUGCGAACCCGGAAGAGAUUCCGGGGUGCCUUCGGGAACGCAGAGACAGGUGCUGCAUGGCUGUCGUCAGCUCGUGUUGUGAAAUGUUGGGUUAAGUCCCGUAACGAGCGCAACCCUUGUCCUUAUUUGCCAGCGCGUAAUGGCGGGAACUCUAAGGAGACUGCCGGUGACAAACCGGAGGAAGGUGGGGACGACGUCAAGUCAUCAUGGCCCUUACGGGUAGGGCUACACACGUGCUACAAUGGCCGGUACAAAGGGCUGCGAGCUCGCGAGAGUCAGCGAAUCCCUUAAAGCCGGUCUCAGUCCGGAUCGGAGUCUGCAACUCGACUCCGUGAAGUCGGAAUCGCUAGUAAUCGUGAAUCAGAAUGUCACGGUGAAUACGUUCCCGGGCCUU
rnacentral:rRNA from 1 species